AGUGAGUUGGCCAAGCGAAAGUAUUUGAUUCCGAAACCACAAAAUGGAUGCCCGUCGGGAUGGGGUGAAGGAUGGAGGUACCAGGACAAUGAAGAUACCCGUAAUAUUAACUCUGUUACCCAGAGUAUAGGUUAUCACUUUUUCGGUAAGUGCAUUUGUUAUUGAAUGAUUUAAUAAAUAAAAAAAAAAACAAAUUAUCGCUUAAAUAAUAAAGGAAAUGUUCGAAGCAUACGUCAAAGAGAUAACAAAAAUAAAAAGAACACAUCAUAAAAUUUCAUGUGAACGACGCCCUUUUAUGAAGCAACCUUACAACACAAUACAUUCAAAUAUAUCAAUAUAAUCUAUGGAUUCAGAAUGUCUAUUUCUACUAAUGUUAAUUGUUUAUCAGUACUUUUACAUCCUAGUACUUAAACGCUUAUGCAAAUCUUUUAUAAAAUGUUUGAGCAGUUAUGAAUUAAUUACCAGCUUGAUUGCAAGAAAAGGAAUUAUCGGACUCUCAAAGGUAAGAAUAAAAGUUUCUAACUAUAUUGGUCAACAUAUAAAUGACUUGAAUUAUUACCAAAAAUAGUCAAAUAAGUCUCAAGGGCAUACGAUACAGUAUUGAUCUCAUAUUGACAGAAUUCUGACAAUUUUCAUGUAGGCUAUUUUUUGCCUGAUUAAAUCAAAUAUGUAAUAAAAAUAUACCUUCAUGUGCUACUUUUUGAGUAAAAUGAGGUCGAAAUUUAAUAUAUUUGCUCAAAUUUCGGAUUUGUGGACGUAUUUUUCCUUUCGACAGAAAUACAUAACUUUUUUGUUUUAAAAGAUAAACACAAGUGUUUUUUUGUUAAAUUAUUUGUAAAUUCUGUUUUAUAUAAAUUUGUGCAAUUUGUUUUCUUCAAAUAACUCAUAGUUAUCAAAUGUUCACGAAUGUAGAAAAAUACUAUGCAUGUAUCCAAUAUCAAUUAAUAUCAAUUUUUUCAAUAGCACUAAAUAUUAAACCUAAGGUUUUAAAACCAUCUGUUCAUUUCAUAGAAAGGGAACCUUUUUUUUUAUUAAAUUUAUAUCUUCUAAUUCAUGUUGCUUCGGAUUUUAGAAAAAAAUGACUUUUAACCCUGACCACUUCUGAAAAUCGUUUAUGGAAUCCAAUAAAAUUUGCGCGUAAAAUACAUCUUUUAAAAUACAAGUUGUAUCAUCAGCCAACUGUGAAAUAUUUAUUCCAGUAUCCCCGAUUGUAAUACCAUGUUAAUUGACUCUUGUAGAAGGAAUGUCUAAAAUAUCAACCAUGCCAUAGUUAACUCACAGAAAAGAGGGAAAAAAAGAAGUAUUCAGAAGCCCAUUAUGAUACAUGGUUAAUUAAAAUUGAAUAUAUAGAUAAGUAUUUAUAAAUACAGCCAGCCUUUAAUUUUCUUUACUUACAUCUAGGUACCUUUAAUAGAAACACAAAGAUGUAUUACUGUACUAAAAUAACAUUCAGCGGAUCAGGAGAGUGGCCAAGAGGAAAUUAUUGUAUUUCUAGGAAAGGUGGUUCCUAUCCUUCAGG
rnacentral:lncRNA from 1 species